rnacentral:rRNA from 1 species
AUUGAACGCUGGCGGCAUGCCUUACACAUGCAAGUCGAACGGCAGCACGGGUGCUUGCACCUGGUGGCGAGUGGCGAACGGGUGAGUAAUACAUCGGAACGUACCUUAUCGUGGGGGAUAACGCAGCGAAAGCUGUGCUAAUACCGCAUACGCCCUGAGGGGGCAAGCGGGGGAUGGCAAGACCUCGCGCGAUUAGAGCGGCCGAUGCCUGAUUAGCUAGUUGGUGGGGUAAAAGCCCACCAAGGCGACGAUCAGUAGCUGGUCUGGGAGGACGAUCAGCCACACUGGGACUGAGACACGGCCCAGACUCCUACGGGAGGCAGCAGUGGGGAAUUUUGGACAAUGGGGGCAACCCUGAUCCAGCAAUGCCGCGUGAGUGAAGAAGGCCUUCGGGUUGUAAAGCUCUUUUGUCAGGGAAGAAACACCGGCUCUAACACAGUCCGGGAAUGACGGUACCUGAAGAAUAAGCACCGGCUAACUACGUGCCAGCCGCCGCAGUAA